UAACCAUAAUGAGGGCAAGCUCGUCUCAAGUCCUUGAACCUUUUCCAUGCUUCACUCAAUGUCUCACCAUCUAGUUGAGAGAAUGUAGCUAUUUGACGUUUUAGCUC
rfam:Beta vulgaris subsp. vulgaris Bvchr7.sca012.con0077.1, whole genome shotgun sequence.